rnacentral:rRNA from 1 species
UAUCUACAGGCUUAACACAUGCAAGUCGAGGGGCAGCAUGGUCUUAGCUCGCUAAGGCCGAUGGCGACCGGCGCACGGGUGAGUAACACGUAUCCAACCUGCCGUCUACUCUUGGACAGCCUUCUGAAAGGAAGAUUAAUACAAGAUGGCAUCAUGAGUCCGCAUGUUCACAUGAUUAAAGGUAUUCCGGUAGACGAUGGGGAUGCGUUCCAUUAGAUAGUAGGCGGGGUAACGGCCCACCUAGUCUUCGAUGGAUAGGGGUUCUGAGAGGAAGGUCCCCCACAUUGGAACUGAGACACGGUCCAAACUCCUACGGGAGGCAGCAGUGAGGAAUAUUGGUCAAUGGGCGAGAGCCUGAACCAGCCAAGUAGCGUGAAGGAUGACUGCCCUAUGGGUUGUAAACUUCUUUUAUAAAGGAAUAAAGUCGGGUAUGGAUACCCGUUUGCAUGUACUUUAUGAAUAAGGAUCGGCUAACUCCGUGCCAGCAGCCGCGGUAAUACGGAGGAUCCGAGCGUUAUCCGGAUUUAUUGGGUUUAAAGGGAGCGUAGAUGGAUGUUUAAGUCAGUUGUGAAAGUUUGCGGCUCAACCGUAAAAUUGCAGUUGAUACUGGAUAUCUUGAGUGCAGUUGAGGCAGGCGGAAUUCGUGGUGUAGCGGUGAAAUGCUUAGAUAUCACGAAGAACUCCGAUUGCGAAGGCAGCCUGCUAAGCUGCAACUGACAUUGAGGCUCGAAAGUGUGGGUAUCAAACAGGAUUAGAUACCCUGGUAGUCCACACGGUAAACGACGAAUACUCGCUGUUUGCGAUAUACUGCAAGCGGCCAAGCGAAAGCGUUAAGUAUUCCACCUGGGGAGUACGCCGGCAACGGUGAAACUCAAAGGAAUUGACGGGGGCCCGCACAAGCGGAGGAACAUGUGGUUUAAUUCGAUGAUACGCGAGGAACCUUACCCGGGCUUAAAUUGCAGAUGAAUUACGGUGAAAGCCGUAAGCCGCAAGGCAUCUGUGAAGGUGCUGCAUGGUUGUCGUCAGCUCGUGCCGUGAGGUGUCGGCUUAAGUGCCAUAACGAGCGCAACCCUUGUUGUCAGUUACUAACAGGUUCCGCUGAGGACUCUGACAAGACUGCCAUCGUAAGAUGUGAGGAAGGUGGGGAUGACGUCAAAUCAGCACGGCCCUUACGUCCGGGGCUACACACGUGUUACAAUGGGGGGUACAGAGGGCCGCUACCACGCGAGUGGAUGCCAAUCCCCAAAACCUCUCUCAGUUCGGACUGGAGUCUGCAACCCGACUCCACGAAGCUGGAUUCGCUAGUAAUCGCGCAUCAGCCACGGCGCGGUGAAUACGUUCCCGGGCCUUGUACACACCGCCCGUCAAGCCAUGGGAGCCGGGGGUACCUGAAGUGCGUAACCGCGAGGAGCGCCCUAGGGUAAAACUGGUGACUGGGGCUA